AAAAAAGAAGAUGUGGUAUGAUUGCCAAUGAGACAACUGUCUACAAGAGACCAAAAUGACACAGACAUUAACAACUAUAGGUCACUGUACGGCCUUCAACAAUGAGCAAAGCACAUACCGCAUAGUCAGCUAUAAAAGAUAUGACAAUGUAAAACAAUUCAAACGUGUAAACUAACGACCUUAUUUAUAUAAAAAAAAAAAUGAACGAAAAACAAAUAUGUAAC
rnacentral:lncRNA from 1 species